AUGGCGGUCCAUUUAAAAGUCUGUCUGUCUGAAGAUGUUAUUCAGAGUCCUGAGCUCCAAGUGGCUCAUCCAAACGAUGCAAUUUCAUUCAAAUGUGCCCAUGAGGCCUCCAACUUCAACUAUAAAUACUGGUACCGGCAGAAAAAGGGGAAAGAACUGGUUUUAAUUGCCUACGCUUACAAAACGGAUAAGCCGGACUACGAGAAGGAUUUCACGGAUAAGGAAAUUGUUAUGGAAGCGGAUGGUCCCAUGAAAAGCAUCCUGACCAUCAAAAAGGUCUCGUUGGAAGAUAGUGCGGUCUAUUACUGUGCCAGCAGCAUCCACAGCGAGACAGUUGUAGAGAGAGGAUGUUUAAAACUCUGGAUGUAG